UAUAUACUGGCGUUACAAAGAGAUAUUUUGAAAAACUAUUCAAAAUAUGCACAAUGGAGGUAUUUACAAGAAAUAUCUCCAAUUUCUUUUGUUUCAUCUUUUUUUUUUUUUUUUGGGUGGGGGGGGCGAUUUAUUGUGUAGAACGUUUAGUUAUCUAGGUCUGUACACAAGGCACUGUUGUUUAAUCCCUAAUAGGGCACCAUGAAAACCAACGAGAACAUUGGCCGAUUUUGGCAGAUGAAGCAUCGUCACGUAAGUGCCGUCGACGCUGAAAGCUGGCGGACAGAAGAACUGGAUAUUUUUGGUUGCUGACGAGUAGCGGAGAGGCUGGACUGCUGGGGUGUAGCUCGAGAUUCAACUGGUUGUUUUAUUAGAAAUGCUUUGUAACGCUAUUUAAAGAUUAAAGACUGUAUGAAUGUCCCUCACUGUGGCAUUAUUUUUUUGCAGAAAGCUGUAAUCGGUGUUUAAUUUGAGUCCUGGAUGUACGCUUUGUAUGCCUUUUCACAGAUUCGGGUUUUAAUGUCGCUGUUGGUCUUUAAUGUCUUGCAGCUGCAUUUGUUUAUGAUAACCCCAUCAGAGGACGUCUUACCCAAAUUGCUUUAAUGUUGGCAGCGGCCGAGUUAUGGUUUACACUGAUGCUCCCAGCCACAUUCUCUAGGGGGCGCUGCAGGGUUUCCACAUACAACUGUGGCCCUAGCACCAAAAAUUGCGAAAACGGUCCUCUUGCAAUAAUGAAUCAAAAACUAAAACUAAAAAACUACCAGGCAAAAUUCAGCUUCUUAUACUUUAACUCGAUUUGGUCAUUGUCAUUAUAUAGCUGAUCAUACUAUCGACGCUAAGGUCUUAGGUUAGCGUUAUCUGUUUAAAAGCGUGAAAUAUACACAUGCAAAUAGACCGUCAUUCAUUUGGUGAUGGAAAGGAACUACGGUUUGGCUAAUUAAGGGAAUGAGAUUGGAGCCAAUGACGUUGGAGUCUCGCUAGUGGCCCUGGUUCCAUCAGUAGUUUUUUGCCGACAAAGGACGACCGCAGGGUAAGUUCCUGUAGUAAUUUCAUUGGUUGUACAGUGGCAAGGGCGCCCGCUACACCGCGUCGACCCCAGACCAGCUGAAAGAGCCCGUCUUCCACUCUGAUGAGCGCCGCAUGUUGAGACAACCUCACCUUCAGCUCCGCGACCUCCUUCUUGACUCCCCCAUUGUUUUCAUUAAGCGAAGAAUGAAUAUGCAAUCCUCUGUUCUUUUAGGGCUCAGUCACACCUUCUAGAAUGUUCUUUUUCUGUUAUCGUUGCCACUUAAUCCAAUCUGAACACCCGUGUCCACUGGACACCCCCCCCGAACACACUCCUGUACCCACUCCUAUACUCUACUCCUGUCUUUCCCAACGUAUUUUGUAGUUUUCUCGUUCCGUUACCUUCACCGACGGACGUUCGAGGUCCCCUCCUUAUGUUAACCAUGCAUCAUGUUGUCUGCUGUUAGGUUUAGGGUACGUGUACGUUUUUGCAACUACGGGGACUGCAUGUCACAGUAAGACAAUGGACUGAGUCAUCUUCCAAGGGGAAAAUGCGCCAGCCUAUCGUGGGAUGAAUGUAAUUCUGAGUGUGAAACAUCACAUAACACAUUGAUAUCAUUAUUUUGGUCUGUUAUUGUCAUAAGCUUAUGAACCCUUUGAUUUCAGCCCCAUGUUAGAGAUAAAGUUAUGUAAGAGUACUACAGUACUAUAUGUAACUUACAUAAGAGCUUUUGUAAAUGGGAAGGACUUCUGUGAUUUUCUUUGUGUCCUGCAUCCCAUGCAGAGUAUUCUCCGCCAUUUGCCUGUACUAGAUAACUGUUUAGAAGAUGGGUGGAUGGAUAGAUGGAUCCCACCAACCCAACCCUAACCCUAAUGGAAAUGUCACCAUUUAUAUAAUUACCCCCAUUUACGCUAAAACAGCAUCACCUGCUUGCAGUAUGUAACCACAACAGACUGUAUCUCAUGGCUUUAGAGAGAAUAAAUCUGAGAACAGCAUGGAAACAUCACUAAUCCACAGCCUAAAUAUCACAAUUACAAAAUGUAGCAUUUUUGUAGUCGAAAUAGAGGGGAUAUGAUACAUUUGCCUAUUUUGCUAAUAUAUAACGUUAAGCAGUCAAGCACUGUGUUUUGUUGUUAAAAUAUAUGCUACUUUUGUAUUUUAAAAAUAUCAAAAAGGAUUAUUCCUGAAUAUGUGGGCUUCUGAUAGCUUUAUCAUAUUCAUUUAAUUGAUUGAUACCGGUGUAGCAAAAAUGAAAUCCGCGUAGAAGGAAUUGAUGUAAAACUGGCCAUAUUUGGAACAUGACAGCGGGUGCCAAACGACAGUGUUUAUAUUACGGCUGUAAAAUAAAGUAAGGAAGGAAGGACCUCAACCUACACAUUUGUUCUCACCACCAAGCAAACUUUUAACUUGUAGUUAAAUAUUGUGUUUGACAUUACAAUUCUGAUGUUUUCACUCAGUGACACUGACCUUUGUAAAUAUAUAAUGUUUCCAAAAGGCACAGUUACGGAAGGGGUCUUGGUUUCUAUAUUGUCAUGAAACAGUAUUUGAUUUCUGCUCUUCUGACAUGACUUGUUUAAAAUUUCUACUAGAAAUGUAAAGUAAAAAAAACAUAAAAACACCUGUCACCAAUUUGUUACAUUACCUUGUUACAUUACCUUCCGUAUUAAAUCAAAAGACACAUAUUAUUGUUAAUUGAUAACUCACUGAAAGCUGUAAUUAUUUGUUGUACAGUUUCACGCACAGAUCCAGUAUAUAAUGCAGUAUAUAUUCCGUUUAGUCUUAGAACACUUUCCUGGCCGUGAGCAAUGUUUUUCUCACCCACAUUUGCAGUUAAAGCUUUCUUUUAGAGCUUUAAAGACUAACCAAACACCUCUUUCUCUGUUGCCUUCCCCUGAUGAUUUUGUUUUCAUUUUAUUUCUUAGGGUUAGCUAAAAGAUUUUUGGCAUUCAUUGACGGUCACGCGUUUUGACAAUAUGUUGAGUUUUUUUUUUUCUUCAUAAACCUACCAAAAGAGCUACUGUUCUAAAUAUUUUUUCCCCUGUAUUUUCCCCUGAUUUGUGAAUCCCCUCCACCACUGUUGUGAAAAUUGUACUACAAAUCUGUUGUUUAUUUAUAUAAGUACUGGGCACUGGCCAUAUGUUUACCUUACAAAUAUAUGGUUAUCUCAGAUGUUAAAGUGAUAGAUUUGACUGGUCAUAUAUCAUAUAAGCUCUGUAUUAAAAGAUUUUGUAUAUCA